GUCGAGUGACCCUUACUAGUCCUUAAACCUCAAGUAGAGUAGCUACCCUUGUUGCUCUUGUUGAAUCCCAAGCCGACUCCCGACAUGGGACUCGAGGACGAACGAAAGAUGCUCGCUGGAUCCGGAGACCCCAAAGCGGAAGAAGAGGAGGAAGAAUUAGUGGACCCCCUAACAACAGUGAGAGAGCACUGUGAGCAGUUGGAGAAGUGUGUAAAGGCUCGGGAACGACUAGAGUUGUGUGAUAAGCGCGUGUCUUCCCGAACACAGACAGAAGAGGAUUGUACAGAGGAGCUCUUUGACUUCUUGCAUGCUCGGGACCACUGUGUGGCCCACAAACUCUUUAAAAACUUGAAGUAAAUGUACAGAUUCAUUUGCCUUGUCACUGGGAAUCAAGAACAGUUCCUUGUUGUGGUUUUGAACAAUUGUUUCUAAUGUAGUAAGUUCUUGAAAACAUAAUUGAUUUUUGGCGGGUAGCUUCUCUUCUGUGUAAUUAGCAGUGAUUCCAUCUUAAUAAACUGGUCUGCAAACUUAAAA